ensembl:ribozyme RNaseP_nuc Nuclear RNase P
GGCAGAGGAAGCUCAUCAGUGGCCAUGGGAUGAGUGCAUCGCGUCACUCUACUCCAUGGCCCCUGGGGAGACCUGAAACCAGGACCAGUAGUGGCCUAAGAGGGCUCUUGCUGAGUUUCAGGGAGGUCAGCUUCGCAGGGAAAUACUACAAACAAACAGAACUUCAAUAGAUUCUAUUUUGUAUUCUGUAAGUUUUUAGUUGUUUUUCAUGCUCUAUGAUUGUAAACCUCUUGAGGAAAACAAAAAACAAAAAUCAUGCUAUAUGAUUAACCUGUGUUUCCUAUAGAGCCCAGAAUGAUGUAUCCAGAAUUCAGUCAGUGCUUCAUAAAUCAUGUUGAGAAUGUGAUUUAUGGAAUGUUUGAAACAUAAUUUUCUAAUGUU